rnacentral:rRNA from 1 species
UACGGAGGAUCCGAGCGUUAUCCGGAUUUAUUGGGUUUAAAGGGUGCGUAGGCGGCCUGUUAAGUCAGGGGUGAAAGACGGUAGCUCAACUAUCGCAGUGCCCUUGAUACUGAUGGGCUUGAAUGGACUAGAGGUAGGCGGAAUGAGACAAGUAGCGGUGAAAUGCAUAGAUAUGUCUCAGAACACCGAUUGCGAAGGCAGCUUACUAUGGUCUUAUUGACGCUGAGGCACGAAAGCGUGGGGAUCAAACAGG